AUGUGCACUGGGGAAAAAAAAACAACCCCCCAGCAAAACACUUUUUUUACAGCUGGAAUAAUGACUAUUGUUGCUGCAGCCCCUUGCAGUGGGUGCUCACAAGAGCAGGUCAUGGAUGCGCUGAGCACAGAUGAGUCCAUCCCUCCUCUCCCCAUCUGUCCUCUGAACAGAGAAGACCGGAGAUAACUCAGAUGAAAAGGAGUCAAUUAUGUGGUGCCUGGGAUACUAGAAGUCUGGACUUUAUGACCCAGGAAGUUUCUCUCUGCACCAUGCUCCCAAUUUGUUGGAUUUUUUUUCUUUAAUAUCAACAAAUAAAAUAACAUAUCCUGGAUACUCUGCA
rnacentral:lncRNA from 1 species